CAAGAACUUUCGAAUUAUCCGCUUUGGUUUCAUCGCCCCAGAACAAAAGACUCACAACGGAUGAACGCGAGACCAAACUUGCAGGAAUCUCGCCGAUUAAAAAGAAGAAAAUCAUCAACACCAGCGUUAUGAUGACGGAUGAGGUAAAUAUUCCCCAACAGGAGCAACAACGCCGGCAGGAUGGAGAAUAAGAAUAGUUUUACCCAAUUGUGGAUUCUAUAAAACCUGUCAAAAUAGCUAGGUUUCCUUGACAGUCCCAUGUGUACAUGAAGCAGUAUGGCACGUUGAACAAAAUGGAGAUCAACAACCCGCCCAGCAUCACGAGUCUUGCAGUUUUCUGCUGGCAGCAAUUUGGACGUUUUGCACGCAUUGGACUGGAAAGAUACACGAUCCGAUCUGAUAUCCACAACGAAAAAAAAAGCAUAAACAAUGGCCGUCAACCCAUUUGCUGUCAUGAAGUUAAGUUAACAUUUACCGAUGGUGACGCCGACAAUGGCAGUGGACGCCCAGCAAGUGAACAUUCCGCCGACGGGGAUGGCAAUGAUCGCUUCGUAUUCACGCCACCCGGGUUUGGACCAUAGGAUACCUCGACACAACCCUGAAACGAGGAGGAAUGCGGAGGCGGCCAGAUCCGUCAGCGCUAGAACUAUAAAUUUUCAUGAGUCAUUUUUUGUUUGCUGUUCUGAUAGUAUUUUAUGAUAUGUGUGUAUUGUAGCGCUAAAGUGUAGUUGGAAAUUGUGCUUUUUGGAGUAAAUAUUUGAUAACGUGUUGAUCUGGCGCAGUAUUUAUGAUUUUAGUGUUGUUCUAGUUUUUAUGAAUAAAUUUGUUAAUAUUUGUAUUUGUUUUUAAAUAUAUCAAUAAAUAUUAUAUACAAAGUA